GACGAACGCUGGCGGCGUGCUUAACACAUGCAAGUCGAACGAGGCCCUCCUUCGGGAGGUGUCCUAGUGGCGAACGGGUGAGUAACACGUGGGCAACCUGCCCCCGGCUCUGGGAUAACUCCAAGAAAUUGGGGCUAAUACCGGAUAUGACCGCUGACCGCAUGGUCUGGUGGUGGAAAGAUUUAUCGGCUGGGGAUGGGCCCGCGGCCUAUCAGCUUGUUGGUGGGGUAGUGGCCUACCAAGGCGACGACGGGUAGCCGGCCUGAGAGGGUGACCGGCCACACUGGGAAUGAGACACGGGCCAGACUCCUACGGGAGGCAGCAGUGGGGAAUAUUGCGCAAUGGGCGGAAGCCUGACGCAGCGACGCCGCGUGGGGGAUGACGGCCUUCGGGUUGUAAACCUCUUUCAGCAGGGACGAAGCGCAAGUGACGGUACCUGCAGAAGAAGCACCGGCCAACUACGUGCCAGCCGCCGCGGUAAAAC
rnacentral:rRNA from 1 species